GUUUCCAUGCCUUCCAGUUCAACCACGCUAUCACAAGAUUGGUCUCUCCGAGCCUCCGGCACUGUUUCCGCAUUCUGAACUAGAUGACCGCGCUUUAGGUUAUCACCUCGUGGCCUGGGGCAUCACCCUAAAUUCCCCAUGCUUUUCCAAGCCUAACUGGGGUCCUGGCCCCACCCGUUGUGGCACAACCCCGCUUCGGACACCUACCCUUCCUUUUUGGCGCUACAAUUGCUGCUAGAGGAUGUGGUGCGGCUGCGGGGGUCCUCGCGGCGCACUGAGGCGAGGCGCUCUGGUGACAAGUAGCGGCGGGCACUGCGAAUAGAGAGCACAUAGCUGCAGCCGCUGCUCCAGCGCCGACACGCGGUCGUCCACCUCCAUCCCGCUCGUGCCCGACAAAUUGUCAUCUGGAAGGCAAGGGAGCGCUGGCUGCGGGGGCCCACCCAGGAGCUACAACGCCCGAGACUUUCCAAGCCAAAAAGGUCGUGCCUGGUCCCUCGCCUUCGCAUUCUCUCCUCACCAAGGGGUUCGACACCCGAGCCUGCUGCAAGGACAGAGUUUCUGCGGCCCCUGACGGCAGAUAUGGGAGUUGCAGGCAGCGCAUCCGAGACCCGAGACCAACGGAAGGGAGAUACCCGCGGGGAUCUGACACCCAAGCUCUCUUCCCCGACCCGAGCUUCUCCCCUCUAUUCCCCUCCUUUAUUUGGCUUAUGUACCCCAUGCCCCUGAUUCGGUUCUCCCUCUCCCCUCUAGGCCAUGGGUGCAACCAAAUAACUCCUCCAUCUCCCGCGGGCACCGCCCCCCCACCCCGCCCAUUUUUCCCGAAGUGGGAGGGGCAGAGGACCAAGGUGGUCUACCCUCCCACCUCCCUCCCAGACCACUCAUACCCAGACUCAUUGCUGGCAACAACCAAGAAAGCCCUGGCUCCCAGUCGGGUAGAAGUAAGGGUGGUAUCAUUAACAGGAACCGGGCGUGGAAGUAGCACCUGCCAUCCCCUGUCGGAGGCCGCCCCGCCCGUCCGCUGGGCUCCGCAGUGCAGCCGUCUAUCCCUUCUCUCCCUCCCCCGCCACCCCCGCAGCCCAAUCGCCUGCCUGGCCUUGCCCGCCCUGCCCCCCACCCAGCGCCUCUCUGUUCGGGUGCCUGGACCUGCAUUGGAAGGUGGGGGCCUCCCGAGGUCUGAGGGAGAGAGCUGUCAGGACUUGGAACUCAUAAGAGGAGGAAUCUCAGGGUCCCGUUGGCAAAGCGUUUUGCAAAAGAGGAAACUAAGGACGGAGGUUGGGGAGUGUGCAGAGAUCACCAAAGGUCAAACAGCCAAUAGGUGAGGUGCAGGAGGACCUGCUCACCUCCUUGUGCCAAGACCCCUCUUACCUACCAUUAAUAAUACUACCCCCCCCCCAAAUGAGAUCUGCUAUAGGGAGCUUACACGUGGCAGGCACUCUUCAUGCAAAACGCUUAGCACCUCACCUGGCUCUGGUUAUGUGCUCAGUAAAUCCAGAAUAUAAUUAACUGUUAUUAUGGUACCCAGUGCUCCCAGCAACUCUAGCAGCUGUAGUAUUAUACCCAUUUUAGGAGGCAAGAAGGUGGAAGGGGACUGAGACCUAGAGAGAUGAAGUUGCUUGUGCAUGGACACACAGCCUUUCAGCAGCAGAACAGGUACUUGACCCCUGGCUUAGGCACCCUGUCAGCCUGCCUCUUAGAAGGGCAGAGGAGACAAAAUAAGCAUUCUGGAGCUCUGCCAACUCCAGUGGUCCCUGACACUGGGGUGUGUGCCCAGGGGAGUGAGCCUCCAAAUGGAAGAUAGUUCCUUCUCAGGGCCGCUGAGUGAAAUGGGGGAGCUUUCACCUUGGCCCUUCAACCCCCAUCCAAAGAGCCAGCUGCAUUCUGAGGCCUUGGCCUGCCCACCCCCGACCCUCCAUGACUCAAGUCCUCUGCUCCCUCCUGACCAUUCCCCCACCUUCAGCACUUUUGCCCGGAAAUCAGCCCCCACUUCCCACUUUUCCCAUCCCUCCCUCCUCCCCUCUGCCUCCAGCUUCCCUCAUCUGGGCCUGACACCCACACCCACACCUUCUUGUAUCGAACCCAUUUGUCUAGGGAGAAGGGAUGAGUCCUAAUGGGUGGGAGGGGCGGGGCCUGAGGAUUUGGUGGGUAUAGUCGAAGCAAAGUCCUCUGGUCAUCCUACUCAGUCCCACAUCCAGCCCACAAGCCAACACCAAAUCCCACUCUCCCCCUAAUCUGUCCCUCUGCUAGGGAGAAGGGGGAGGGUCCCAGAGGAUUGAGAGGGGAUAGGGAAGGCAGAGUUCCAGACCUCCAGGCCUCCCCCCUUUCUGCCCCAAGCUCCUGAGGUUCUGCUCCUUUCUCUCAGUUCAGCCACCUCUGAAAAAGGGGAGGGUUGAGGAGGGUGGGGGAUUGGGAUCAGGGCUUUGGGGAUCAGGGAGCCUGCUCUGGGGUCAGGGUCCUGCUAGGGGAGAAAGGGGAAUCUUCAGCAAGGGGCGAGGAUGGGGACUUGGAGGGAGGAGGUUGGGGCAGGAGGAGAUAGGUCCAGCCCUGGGCGGGGCCAGGGUCGGAACUGAGGAGGGGUCUCACCGUUGCAGUAUUGAAGCAGGGAGGACGUGUCGUAGAGGCCGCAGAAGGCCGGGCCGCGCUCCGCCAUCGCCCCGCCACAGCCACCGCCAGCCCCCCCGGCCCCAGCUCGGGCCUCGGCUCCCCCCCCAGGCCCUGCCUCCCGUUGCCAUAGCAACGCCCUUCGUUCCAGCAUCCCCGGCUCGGCCCGCCCGGCAUCAGGCGGCCGACGCCGGGCCUGGCACCGGGGUCAUCCCCCAGGAUGCCCAGAAAGGGGGGGUGUCGGGACACCCCCUGCCAGGCCCCGCAACACAAUCUUCGGGCCGGGAUUGGCUGACCCGAGAUCCCCCUCGGUACUGUCUGGUCCCGCCCACAACAGGCGCGUAUUCUCUCUAGACACCCUCGCCUGUUCAGGACCAAUGAGAGCCUGUCUCGCAGGCCCCCUCCGCCAAUAGGGAUGCAGAAGGUUUGGAAGGGGCAGGGCCUUCUCUGCUUUUCAGCCCGAAGCAUAGCCCCCGGCUCUUAGAGGAAGAUAGGGUGGAAGAAGACACCACACACCCCGCAAACCUCCCUAAUCUUUUACUGGAUUUUCGAGAAGCCACCUUGCAAGACUAGAGCCUGACCCCAGAGUCUCAAAUCCGCCCAGAUAUCCACUAGCUCCGCCCUGGAACUCUUAUUCUAGCUCAUUUCUUAGGACUCUUGUUUAUUCUAUCUACGCCCGCCCCCAGGGCUCUUAGCUCCACCCCCAGAAUCCUGAGGGGGGAGUUAAAGUUCUAUUCCCGCCCCCAGAGCUUUUGGCACCGCCCCCUAAGCAUCUCAGGGCGAUGGUUCUUGGCCCAGAGCCCUUGACUCAGCCUCCUGAUAGGAUUGGCUCCGCCCCUUAAGUUUAUACCCCUACCCCCAAGUCUGUUAGUCCCUCCCUAACCUUUCCUUCCACUUUCCUAUUGGCCGCCCCAGGCCCUUAGCUCCUCCCCUACAGCGUUCAUCUCCCACAACCUUAUUAUCCAGUCCGGGUUUUGACAAAGGCCCAGCUGUGAUGCCUGGAUGGCUGGCGGUGUCAGUCGGAGCCGCCUCCGAAGUUGGGGGGAGAGGGGAGGGUAGAAAAGCUGACAAUGGACUUAAACAAUACUGGACCACCUUCUCCAAGCCUCCAUUGAGGGUCAGCACCUAGAAAUGACCCAGAACAUGCUUUAUAGCGGUGGGAAGUGAGCCCAAAGCAGAAGAGAUUUGCCUCUGGACACAAGCAGGCCUUGGAAGCCCAGGGCUUUGGAACCAAAUUGGUCUGGGUUUGAAUCCUGACUCCACCAGUUUCUGAUUGUGACCUUGAGCCUCAGUUUCCACAUCUGGAAAGUGGGGGGUCAUAUCGUGCCUACUUCUUUCAUUCAUUUGAAAAUUUUGGGACUUCCCUGGUGGCGCAGUGUUUGAGAAUCCGCCUGCCAAUGCAGGGUCACGUGUUCGAUCCCUGGUCCGGGAAGAUCCCACAUGCCAUGGAGCAAAUAAGCCAGCGCGCCACAACUACUGAGCCUGUGCUCUAGAGGCUGCGAGCCACAACUACUGAGCCUGCAUGCCACAACUACUGAAGCUCACGCACCUAUAGCCUCGCAACAAAAGAAGCCACCGCCACGAGAAGCCCUCGCACCGCAACAAAGAGUAGCCCCCACUCUCCGCAGCUAGAGAAAGCCCUCGUGCAGCAACGAAGACCCAACGCAGACAAAA